ensembl:lncRNA
GCGUAGCGGUCUGGUUGGUGUGUAGCGGUUGACCAGUCUAGUAGUAGAUAGCUGGGAGCAGUUCUAUUGAUGCGUUUGUAGCCUAGGUUAUAACCAGGGACUGAACCAGGCUAUUAUUAAAAAUAUUGCAGUUGAAAUUACGUACAACGGUACUCGCACCAUUUUAUAUUUCAAGAGGUAUUAUGCUGAUCAAACCGACAUACUUCGGUUCUUCCUAAAUUCAGAUUUAUCGGAAGUUUGUCGAUACAAAAAGCGAAGGACGAGCGCCACCUGAUGCGAGUGUUCGUAAUUACAACGUGUACUAUGUGAAUGUACAGGGCUGCAGCCAAUCAGAGCGGCACUACAGAAUCUGUAAACAACACAACUUGCGCGACUUCGGAAGGCGCUGGAGCGCGAGGGUGUCGGGAUGUGCGCGCGGUCCUCACCACUGCUCACAGAAUAUGAAGUACUUAAGGACUGCUGGCUGUGCGACUUCAGGAUGCGAGUGAUGAAUCCGACUGGCAGGGAGGUGGUCGAGUGGCCCUGCAGGGUGUCGUGCUGCCAACAACCACAACUGGCAAGCUGCGCCCUACCGGAGUGUGUUUCCCAUCCCUGUACAAAGCAGCAUCCAGACCAGCACGCCCCGGUUCCACCACAUGCCUAUCAGAUGUACUACGUGCCAACAGGACCGAACUCCAGGCUGCGGAACGAUGAUGGUGAAAGUCAAAGACCCUCACAAACCUGGAAGUUUACAAGGAAUUCCCAGCAGCCUUCCUCUUUGCUGUUUCCUCAGCUAACUAACAACAAACUACAGUCUGCAAUCAGUAAUCUACACAAACUCUUCUACACCUUCUCAUCCUUAGUCUGCCUUCCUCUUCCUCCUCCCUCUUCUCUCACCACUGAUGAUUUUGCAUUGUUCUUCAGAGACAAAGUCAACUCCAUCACAAACAAGUUCCCAGCAUCCACCUGUCCCGGUCAUGUAAGAUCUCGCUGCAAAGUUACGUUCUCCAUAUUUCAACCUGUCGGAAAUUGAGAUCUCCUACCUCCUGCUGUCACAUAGAUCCACCACCUGUUCCGUCAGUCCAAUCCCUUUGCCUCUUCUAAAGGACAUUUCCUUGGAACUAAAUCUUUUAUUUCCAAGAUAAUCAGUUCCUCACUAUCCUUUGGUUGCUUCCAAUCCACCUUCAAAUGUGCCUUCAUUUCACCACUGCUAAAGAAACCCUCCCUGUAUCCAGAAUUACAGGCCUCCCUCCUCCCUUUUCUGUCAGAAACUUUGGAACAAAGAACAUGUCAUCAGCUGUCUGCAUUCCUCACCCAGAAUGAUCUUCUGGACAGGUAUCAGUCUGGAUUCAAAGCCGGACAUUCCAUUAUGACAUCUCUCCUGGCAAUGUCAAUGCUCUCCAGUCAGCCAGAGCGGUCUCCCUCUUCUCAGUCCUCAACCUCCUUGAUCUGUCUGCAGAAUUCGACACUGUCAACCAUUGGAUUCCACUUCCCUCUCUUGGACAGCUUGGGAUCAAAGGAACUGCACUGAAAUAAUUUGAGUCCUGCCUAUCAGGUAGACCCUAGCAAGUGGUCUGGUGGGGCUCCCCUUCAUCCCCUCAGUCUAUCUGAACUGGUGUUCCACAGGGCUCGGUACUGGGCCCCCUACUCUUCUCCAUCUACACCUCUUCCCUCGAUUCUUAUCAAAUUCAAGACUCUGGUUACUGCCUACAAAACCAUCAAUGGAUCAGCUUCCUGACAUCUACAAGACCUGAUCGCUCGCUACCCCAAAACCAGACGGGGCACUCCACCUCUGCCCACUUGGUGGUUCCAUGCACAAGAGCUCCAAAAUCAGCACAGCAAGUAGUGUUGCUGUCUCAUAGUGCUUGGAUGGUGCGAAAGGACAUCAGUUUGAUCCCUGCUCAGUCUAUGUGGAGUUUGUAUAUUCUCUCAGUGUCCACGUGGGUUUUCUCCCACACUCCAAAGACAUGCUGUUCAGAUGGAUUAGCGAUUCUGAGUCACACAGAGAGUGCGUUUCACUGAUGUAUGGAUAAGUAACUUAUUGUAAGUAUUGUAUCUGGCAGUGUAAGUCACCUUGGAUGAAUAGGGUGUGGGCUGUUAACAAUACAUAGAGGAAUUCACUUUGGAGAAAAACCUCUGCUAAAUGAUGUAAUGUAAGCGUAAGUCAAACGCAUAAAGGUUUUCGAUUCUGGCUCCGAUGUGGUGGAAUGACCUCUCACUCAGGAUUGCUGAGUCUCUCUCUGUUUUUAAUAAGGAGCUCUUUCUCAACUCACGUCUUUCAGCCUCAUUUCUCCUGAUCUUUUAAGUGCUUGGAAAACGUGUAUGUUUGUCAUGUUCAGUAAUUCUUAGUAACAAUUUGUUUAAUAAUACAAAAGUCUAUAUGCAGCCAUAUGCAGCUACUUGUGAACUGGUUCAUGUGGUGGUAUGUAACAAAUUGACUGUACUCAAGUGCAUCAUGCCUGUAUCCAAAUCUCUCCUUCUGUUGAUCUAAUGCACUUUUCUGUAUUGUCGUCGAAGAUGUACGUCGCUUUGGAAGAAAGCAUCUGCUAAAUGAAUAAAUGUAAAUGUGAAGGGAAUGUUAUGAGUUCU